CUAGCCUGUUAGGGGGUUGCACCCUCAACCAUAUAAACCAUGCUUUUCCACUCUCACCAGACAAUGUGGGACUAUUCCCAACAAUCUCCCCCUCACACAUUGUGAGCCGAGAUUUGUCUGAGAAUGCACUGGACCAACCUGGCUUUGAUACCAAUUGUUGGAAACUGGACCGCCGACACAUAGCGUGUCUGUCGGGGCCACCGCACUCACGGCGCGCCCAUCCAGGCUGUCGGGCCGCGACACACGCGCCCGCACGUAUAGCAGCGGGCUUUAGGUCUCUUGGGCCAACACUCCCCCCAAAAAGCUAGCCUGUUAGGGGGUUGCACCCUCAACCAUAUAAACCAUGCUUUUCCACUCUCACC
rnacentral:lncRNA from 1 species